AUUGAACGCUGGCGACAUGCCUUACACAUGCAAGUCGAACGGUAACAGGUCUUCGGAUGCUGACGAGUGGCGAACGGGUGAGUAAUGCAUCGGAACGUGCCCAGUAGUGAGGGAUAGCCCGGCGAAAGCCGGAUUAAUACCGCAUACGACCUGAGGGUGAAAGGGGGGGAUCGCAAGACCUCUCGCUAUUGGAGCGGCCGAUGUCAGAUUAGCUAGUUGGUGGGGUAAAGGCCUACCAAGGCAACGAUCUGUAGUUGGUCUGAGAGGACGACCAGCCACACUGGGACUGAGACACGGCCCAGACUCCUACGGGAGGCAGCAGUGGGGAAUUUUGGACAAUGGGCGCAAGCCUGAUCCAGCAAUGCCGCGUGCAGGAAGAAGGCCUUCGGGUUGUAAACUGCUUUUGUCAGGGAAGAAAUCUUCUGGGUUAAUACCUCGGGAGGAUGACGGUACCUGAAGAAUAAGCACCGGCUAACUACGUGCCAGCCGCCGCGGUAAGAC
rnacentral:rRNA from 1 species